rnacentral:rRNA from 1 species
AUUGAACGCUGGCGGCAGGCCUAACACAUGCAAGUCGAGCGGAGCGGGGGACGGGCGAGUGAUGCCUAUGUAUGGGCCUGCUCGUGGGGGAGGACGACCGGAAGCGGGCGCUAACACAGCAUACUCUCUGAUGAGGCUAUGCCGGAUUGGUUAGCUGGUGGGGUAAGGGCCUACCAAGGCGAGGGUCCGUAACUGGUCGGAGAGGAUGAUCAGUCAAAAUGGAACGGAGACACGGUCCAGACUCCUACGGGAGGCAGCAGUGGGGAAUAUUGGACAAUGGGCGAAAGCCUGAUCCAGCCAUGCCGCGUGUGUGAAGAAGGUCGUCGGAUUGUAAAGCACUUUAAGUUGGGAGGCGUUACCAACAGAAUAAGCACCGGCUAACUUCGUGCCAGCAGCCGCGGUAAUUC